rnacentral:rRNA from 1 species
AGAGUUUGAUCAUGGCUCAGAUUGAACGCUGGCGGCAGGCCUAACACAUGCAAGUCGAACGGUAACAGGAAGCAGCUUGCUGCUUCGCUGACGAGUGGCGGACGGGUGAGUAAUGUCUGGGAAACUGCCCGAUGGAGGGGGAUAACUACUGGAAACGGUAGCUAAUACCGCAUAAUGUCGCAAGACCAAAGAGGGGGACCUUCGGGCCUCUUGCCAUCGGAUGUGCCCAGAUGGGAUUAGCUUGUUGGUGAGGUAACGGCUCACCAAGGCGACGAUCCCUAGCCGACCUGAGAGGGUGAUCGGCCACAUUGGGACUGAGACACGGCCCAAACUCCUACGGGAGGCAGCAGUAGGGAAUCUUCGGCAAUGGACGAAAGUCUGAUGCAGCCAUGCCGCGUGUGUGAAGAAGGCCUUCGGGUUGUAAAGCACUUUCAGCGAGGAGGAAAGGUUGAUGCCUAAUACGUAUCAACUGUGACGUUACUCGCAGAAGAAGCACCGGCUAACUCCGUGCCAGCCGCCGCGGUAAUAC